rnacentral:lncRNA from 1 species
AACAGACAAACAAGUGCUGCAACAAGGUUCCAGAACAAAAUCCAAAAGGUUGAACGACGAAGUAGGCUGCGCAAGUAUCAUGUCCUGUUCAUGUUACGUGUCCUCUAUGACAAUACACUACUGGCAAGUUGUGCAACUUAGGAUUAUGGGCAUGUAUGAUUAGGUUUUUUAUGUUGUGUUUAUCCCUGAACGCAAGAGUACAUGUAGUUACCAGUCUUAUAGGGUACCUACACCUGAGAAAGCAGACAGCGAAUGUUGGAGGGAGGCAUUUGCUCGACAUGAAGAAAAUCAUCAAUCAAGGUCAGACACUGUUGGAGAAUACAAUACAAAUACAAUUUUGGAAUAUCAUUGAAAGUUGAGCUUCAAUCUUUCUUUUUUU